AUUGAACGCUGGCGGCAGGCCUAACACAUGCAAGUCGAACGAGUGGCGGACGGGUGAGUAAUGUCUGGGAAACUGCCCGAUGGAGGGGGAUAACUACUGGAAACGGUAGCUAAUACCGCAUACCAUCGGGUGUGCCCAGAUGGGAUUGGCUAGUAGGUGGGGUAACGGCUCACCUAGGCGACGGUCCGUAGCUGGUCUGAGAGGAUGACGAGCCACACGGGAACUGAGACACGGGCCAGGCUCCUACGUGCGGCAGCAGGGGGGAAUAGUGGACAAUGGGCGAAGGCCGGAUGCAGCAAUGCGGGGUGUAGGAAGAGGGCCUUCGGGUUGUAAAGUACUUUCAGCGAGGAGGCGUUACUCGCAGAAGAAGCACCGGCUAACUCCGUGCCAGCAGCCGCGGUAAUUC
rnacentral:rRNA from 1 species